rnacentral:rRNA from 1 species
AACGAACGCUGGCGGCAUGCCUAAUACAUGCAAGUCGAACGAUCACUUCGGUGGUAGUGGCGCACGGGUGCGUAACGCGUGGGAAUCUGCCCUUGGGUUCGGAAUAACGUCGGGAAACUGACGCUAAUACUGGAUGAUGACGUAAGUCCAAAGAUUUAUCGCCCAGGGAUGAGCCCGCGUAGGAUUAGCUAGUUGGUGGGGUAAAGGCCUACCAAGGCGACGAUCCUUAGCUGGUCUGAGAGGAUGAUCAGCCACACUGGGACUGAGACACGGCCCAGACUCCUACGGGAGGCAGCAGUAGGGAAUAUUGGACAAUGGGGGCAACCCUGAUCAGCAAUGCCGCGUGAGUGAUGAAGGCCUUAGGGUUGAGAAGCUCUUUUACCCGGGAUGAUAAUGACAGUACCGGAGGAAUAAGCCCCGGCUAACUCCGUGCCAGCCGCCGCAGUAA